rnacentral:rRNA from 1 species
GAUGAACGCUAGCGAUAGGCCUAACACAUGCAAGUCGAGGGGUAACAGGGGGGCUUGCUCCCGCUGACGACCGGCGCACGGGUGAGUAACACGUAUGCAACCUGCCUUCAACAAGGGGAUAACCCGUUGAAAAAACGGACUAAGUACCCUAUAACACAGGGGCUCCGCAUGGAGAUAUUUGUUAAAGAAUUUCGGUUGAAGAUGGGCAUGCGUUCCAUUAGCUAGUUGGCGGGGUAACGGCCCACCAAGG